CCCCCCCCCCCAAAACCCUCCCAGUCCAUUAACCUUUUGAAGUCUAUGAUUAACAGUUGAGCUUGUGGCAAAUGGCGUCCUAUUUGGCUAAGUAAACGUAUGGAGCGAUGAUCCUUUUCUGAAUAUACAAAUAGACCCUUCAGGCACUGGAGGGGGAUCCAUAUUCAAUUAUCCUGCCUAUUAAAACUUGUCAGGGGUCUGAAACACGACAGCCUUAUGCAAAUAUAAUUGCGCCAAUUAAACUGCAGAGGGGGCUCAGAAGGGGGGGGGGGGGUUCCGGUAGAAAGACUGGCGGCGGUUGUGUUCCAGGGUUAGUGUGUGUUUCGGUUAUAAACCUGGUUCUCCAGUGUGUGCAUACGUACGUAAGUCAAUGUGCACAUGUGUGGGCGUUCUGGGAACACUGUUCCUCGCACCCUCCCCCUCCGUCCCCCCACCACCAACACCCCCAUCCCCCAAAGCCUGCUUCCCUGCCUGCCUGUCUGUCUGUCUGUCUUCGGGGAGUUGAAGCAGCUCAAAGGAGAGGCUGCGAAUGUGGACGUGGAGAGAAAAAGGGAAGAGUGUGCAGACGAAAAAAGAGACAGAGCAGAAAAGCGUAUGAUAAACAAUAAAAUUAUAUUAACUCUGCUCAAAAGUGCCUUUUGUCACGUUAAUUUCAAAGAAGCUGAGUAACAGAGAUCCAACCUGAGCCUAAAUGAACCUCGUCAGGUCAGACAGCGUGUUGUUGUACUACCGGAUCAAUACAUCCCAGCACACAGUAUUAGCUCUGGUCACACAAUGUGUCAUCCCAGUAUUUGUGUAAGAUUUGAUGCUGUAAAUGCCUUUGCAGAGCGUUCCUUGACAUACAUCACUUUCUGGCUAACAAUGCUAAAAGCAUUUAACCAUUUUUGUCUUCAGAAAAGUUUGGGACGAGAUGUCUAUGUGAUGGAGGCAGCCAAGGAAGCGAAUGAGUGGCUAUACUGAUUUAACAUUUCUUGACGUUGACUGGAGAUUUUUCCCCCCUUUUCCCCCAGAACAGAUCGGUAUUCACCAGGUUUUGCCCGAGGGGGAACACCAGCCACCCCGUCUGUCGGCUUCAAUUUACCCCCGAGGAACUGUGCCUAUUCAUACACUCAAAAGCAAAACAACAGAAUUGUCACUGACAUUGUCGAAACAAAUCUCGUCAGUCCCAUUCUCCGGGGUGAUAAAGUGUCAUCACAAUGCAGUAAUGGCUAUAUUUUGUAUCACAAACAUUGUUGCCGAGCUUUCAUGCAUAUCCAGAAUACAGUGACGGCGUCACACACUCGAGUGCACUCAACUGAGUCGACAGUAUCAGAGGCAUCUCAAUAAAGUGGUGGCAGCUUUGAAAAAAGAUUAAAUGUUCUUGUGAUCACUGUGAGCAGGUGACUGACGCACAGCAGACACAGCUUUGUGGUUCGCUUCUCUAGCUUCUAAAAGCCUGCAGCUCAUUAGUGGAGGCAGCAGGUUGUCAAAGAGCACAAACUGCAGCUACGUGUUGCUGUACUUUGCAUCUUAGCCUAAUAGUUUGUGCUAAACGCUAAACGUCUCUAAAUUCUAAAUGGACAGUUUGAAUCCCAUAAUACACAUGAUUCUCUGAAAGCUCUGCAGGAAUCAAAGGAUAGAUAUUUACAGUCUUGUUGAUGCAUAUCUGUAUAGUCUACAUGCAUCCGCAGCAAUUCUUGGGGCUGUAUUAAACGAAUAACCACAGACUGAAUGUAUGGAUCAUAGUUAUGGUGACUUAACAUAUACACAUUUACAUUUACAUAGUUUUUUCAGUUAACAACUAUCAACUAUAAUAUGUGCUGUGUACUCAAGCAGAGUAUAGAGUGUUAUAAUGCUAACUUUCGAUUAUUAAUGCUCAACACAAUGAACAGCCAAACGAUGGGAAUGCAAUGAGUGUUGUUUAGGUUCUCUCCUGAUGUCCCUUCAUGCUGAUCAGCCAGCAGAUGUUUGGGAGGCAUAAACGCCGCUCUCUGUCUCCUCCCUCCCGUCCUCCUGUCACUCCUUCUCUGCUUAUCUAAUUAUCUCUGAAUUUCUUUUUUCGAUCCGUUGUCACAAAAGAUUGAAAUGAAGGAGGUGUUGUCGUGUGAGCAGACGCCCAGCUGGGUUCAAACCUGCUUUCCCUCACCUGAUAGAAUUUAUUAAUCCAUAUAUAGUGCUGAUUAUUGAACGAUGUGUUUUUCUAUUGGACAUGACAGUUUCCCUCCAUCCAAGACUUUCCCCCUCUCCAUUACAGGGACCAAUUCAUCCGCUUCUCCAUUUCUUGUUUUUGUGCAGCUACUCUUGAGCAUUGUGUAUCAAAUAAAGCAUGAGCAGUUAGUGCUUUACUAAGAAGUGAAGAUUCAUGGGAUUGAGCCGGGGACCUCACACAAUGACAGCAUGCGCUCUUCUACUCAGCUACUUAUAGGUUGAUCGUUCACGUUUCUGUCACAUCUAUGCUAUUUAGAAGUUCGAAGGCCGACAAACCGACCGGUGUCGACCAACCCGCCGCAGAAAUUUUGCUUAAACAACUAACUUCUCGUUUCAAAAAGUCCUAAAAUUACAUUCCACAACUUAAAUAUGCAAGUCCGGUCUUAAAAGCAUAUUAAGGAAGGUCGUAAGAUUCUUGCUGUUUAAAAACUGCCCUCUUUGCUUCCGCCUUCCGGUGUAACUGAGACCUUCACCAUGCUAGUGAGAUUUCAUUCAUACACACUAGGGAGAUUACUCGUAUGAAUACAUGUGAAACGCUUGCACAUCCUCAUGUAAGAGCACGCACAACUAAAAAACGUACACAUGUGAAACAUUUAUACAAAUAUAUGUGAAGCACUUGCAUAUGUAUCUAUCUAUCUAUCUAUAUGCGUGUGUGUGAACGUAAGAGUGUUUCGUUAGUGAGUGCGAGAGCGUCUCAAUAGUUUUUCCUGUUUUAAUGGACUAUUAAGUAUGUACAUAACAUAAUUAACGCGUAUUUUGUGGCAAAGACAUGGUUGUUUGUAAAUCAUUAAUAACACCUUCUGAUAGAAUAUCUUGAAACAUAUGUCGACUAUGUCAUCUUACGUCAGGCAAAGCUCACCACCUAGUCCUCUUUUUUCCUCAAUAUUCCAUGGUUGACAGAAGGCUGGAUCUUGGUAUCUGUUACGUGCCUUGUUUUGUUUUGCUGUGUUCUCUGCCUGUGUGUGUUUGUGUGUGUGUGUGUGUGUGUGUGUGUGUGUGUGUGUGUGUGCAUGAUUCUCAGGUGUGCUGGUGAUGUCACUCCUGCAGCUGCAGCUCAUCAGGAAGGGGUUAAAUGGCUGUGCCAAGCCAGAGUGAGGUGGUUGCUUCCGUGGAAGCCCGAGCGUGACCAGAGACGUGUUGGGUUGCUUCUAUGGAAGCCAGAGUCAGACUCUAUCAGCUGUUUAGUAACCAAUCAGAUUCUAUACACGGUUUCCGGGAGCCAAUCACUUUGUUGCUGUCAAACUUUUUAAAAGUGUUCUCCUCUCUGUUGGCUGUCAGCUGUCAUUUCAGUGUGUAGCUGAUGCGACCCUCCUCCACCCCUGUCGCCUUCAGUCAGCAUCGGCGUUGUUCCUGGUUCAUCAUCAGGUUGCUGCUAUUCCUUUCACCUCCACCACCACCACCAGUGUCUGGACUCCAGGGGGAUUAGGCCUAUUGGACCUCAGUAUGAUGGAGUCCAAUCGGCAAAGACGUUGCACAAUUCAUAUUUGAUGCGUGUGUAAUAAAGUAUUAUUCUAUUAAUUGAGUCUCUCCUGAUUGAAAUAACCUUAUUCGCCGUUUGUCCAGAUCUCCCGGGUUUAUAAUUUUACAUUGUUUGCGUCCUCCACCGCUAGACACUUUAGGGACGUAACACUAUCGGAUUCAGUACUGAAGCUGGACUCUGUACAGUUUUAAAAGCUCUGACACCAGAUCAGCCAGAGGUUCCUUUCCUCUCAAACAAUAAAUGCUUUCAAACGGAAUGACCGUGAACAUUUCAGGCAAAGAAGAACUCUUGCCUUUGAAAUGGGAAUAUCGUGCAUCUGCCCAGGCCCACAUUGCAGCUCAGUGAUAAAGCAAACAGAGGCAACCGGAGCCAAACGCUGUGGUAGUGUCCCCUGUAAAGGGUUUACUCUGCUAUCAGCCGCCCACAGCAGAAGGAACUACGCUUAAAACCAUGUUUCCGCAAUAAAAAUAACAUCUACUGUGAUAUUCACCAUAGUGAUGUUACGCAUUCCUCCCCUAAAAUUGACGCUUAUUCUUUUUGUAAAACACGUAGACCUCUCUGACAGCUACGAACCCUGUUCCCACUGUUCCCCCUGUUUUCUAUCACUAAGACCCCUCUUCUCCAGCUGGAUGAGGGUCAAAACAUGUUGUCAGGAGCGGCUUAGCACGCAACAGACCUGUCUGAUCCCGUCAGAGGUCAGAUUUUAUCAUUAAGAAACAAUGAUCCCAUCGCCUCACAUGCUGCAAAAGGUAAACAAGCUCGCUGCCUUCCACGCUCAGCUUGCCAAGACUAAUAAAACACACACACACACACAAAUGUGUGGAUGCUUGAUAUCCUAAACGACAACAACCGAACAACCCUUUUUUGUUUGAUGUAAUGCAAGAGCACUGCUGCAAUAGUGAGAUUAAAAAAAUCCUUGAAGACUAUCUUUUAUAUUUAGAGUCAACUCUGAAAUCCAACCGAGUCGCGCGUUUGGCUGGUUCUUGGCCCGCAUGUAAAGCACCUGUGGAGUAGAUGAUCCACUAUGUAAGCAGCUGUAAACCUCCGUUUAAACAAAGUAUGAGCUGGCGCCUAAACUUGCUUCCUUCAUUUAUGCACCCCCACACUUACAAUCCUGUUUUGCAGAUUUGUACGCUGCCGAUCACAGAGGUUUUUUUUCCCCCCACUAGUCCUGUAUUUAUGUCACAGUGAGCCGAGGAGCUUCACUUUGUACCAAGCACUUGUUUCUUCAAUUAGAUCUCAGUGGGGCGGAGGGGUACAAUGUCGUUCUCGCCCCGGGCUUUCUCCUGCUCCCUGGCUCUCCACGCUGCUCGAGUGGGUUAACAGGAUUAAGGGGACAUUUGCAUCAGGAUGGGUGGAACGCCGAGUGUGUUGGCAGGGACUCCAUCGUGGUAUGUGGUUAGAUAUCGCUGAGAGAGUUCAACGCGUAGCGUAUUUAGGUCAGAUUUCGAAAUUGCAUACACUGACACGUACACAAAUGCACCCAGAGGAGGUCAAGGACCGGAGGAGGAGACAGACAGGCGGGACGGAUCGCAGUCAAAGACAAUGGGUUGAAAAGGGCGUUGGGCCGUGUCGGGGGGUUGUGCGUCUUGACAUUGUGCUUUAAUCUAAGAAACUGAGUCUGGAUUUUGAGGGAGUAGAUGUUUUCAUAAUCUACUUAACCUGAUUGAGGCCAGCGUCGUCUUCACAGGCUCAAUAAUUGAUAGCACCAUCUGCUAUGGUAUCAAUCAUCCAGAAUCCCGCAGAAUGGCAUUAGGUUAAAGCAAUACUAAGUAAUUACAUUUUACCUUUAUACGCCACAAGUCUGAUACUGAGUAAUUCAAUUGAAUCCUAUUCAUUUAGCUAUAUCUAAAGUGUUUUUAUUACUUUAAUAAAGCAAUGAAUCCAUCUAUCUGGAAAAGUUUCCAUUCAUCCAUUACUUACAGGUGUUAUAGUUGACCAAAAAUGAAAGCGGCUCACAAUAAUCCCACGUAUCCCUUGGCAACUGCUGAAGGACCACCCUGGUUAUGAGUCUCUCCAUUACAUGAUUAUACUUAGUGGUAUUGAAUUGAAGUGACAGGGCAUUACUGGAUAGCAGAAUUUAGUGGCUUACGAAGCAGUUCUUGGUUAAAAUGAGGCUAAUGAUUAUAUUUCAGCUCACACUGAAGAAUGACUACACCUCCGACGUACAACCUCCUAACUAUAGCUGUAACAAUCUUUUUAAUUAGUCAGAGCUUUUCAAUAGAGCAUGUCUGAGAUUGCAUGCGAUCAUGUGUGUGUUUGCUGUCUAUAGGGUGCUUGUGUAUGGCAUGUAAAUAAUUGAUUGGUCAGCAUUGUUAGAACAUCUUUAGUGCACGGUGAUGGAUGGCAGACACAGUUCCCCCACAGGAGUGCAUGAAAGCAGGGCCAGGAAACAUGCUCAUUUCUGACUGAUCAAAAACAGUACUGUUAAAACAUGCACAACACAAUGCAUGCGAUGAUGCGAGAGGGCCGAGCAUUGAGCUGCAACGCUUAAGCAGGUGCAGCUGGAGCCCCAUGAGAGGCCUCUCAACGUGUAUCAUGUUUCUUGGAAGCAUCAGUCAUGUUGUUACAUCAUGUUGGAAAGAACAGGUUGACAGAUUAGUGCAAAUGAAGAACGUUGAGUUUUAACCUGUGAAUAUAAUAAAACUUGAUGCAUGCGACAUACCUGUAAUGCAGCCAGAAGGGAUUCAUGGGAGAUGAAGACAAAAUGAAGUGAACAAUCACUGCAUUUUGGAGAUAAGACAUGUACGAGUUGAGGUAAAAAUACAUUUAAAAAUGAUGUCACGUUAACGUCUUGGAAAAGGACCUGCAAGGACAAAUGAGAAGAGCGUGGAAGGAGAUGGACAUAACACCACACAACACUCUCCAGUUUCAUAUGACUGUGUCCACAAUACCAACGCUUAUCUUUGAAAAAUACUCAGUUGGAGAACAACUAAACUCGAGGACCUUUCUAUCCAAAACAAAAGCUAACUCCUAAAAUGAAUGUCCUCGCAAGAGAAGCCUCAAUGGAUAUUUUCAACUCAUCCAUCUUUGAGAGAAUGAACAUGAGCUUUUCACUCCAAGUGAAAGUGCUGUUAUUGUGUGAAGAAGGAACACAGUAUCAAUGAUUGUAUCAAGUAAGUGUCAGUAUCAAGAUUGCAUUCCUCGGUUUGAGUCAAUCUCUUCUUGGAAGGAUACAGUAGCUGCUCAGUAGCAUGUAGCAGUCUGUAAUGUUUAUCAUGCAGUUUAUUAGGCCGUGUAUCGCGGGAUCUUGGCCAACAACCUCCUUCCCUCAGUAAGAGCGUUGAAGAUGAGUCGUGGCUGGGUCUUCCCGCAUGACAACGACCCGAAACACACAGCCAGGGCAACUAAGGAGUGGCUCCGUAAGAAGCUUCUCGAGGUCCUGGAGAGGCCUAACCCAUCUCAAGACCUGAACCCAAUAGAAAGUCUUUGGAGGGAGCUGAAAGUACGUGUUGGCCAGCGACAGCCCAGAAACCUGAAGGAUCUGGAGAAGGUCUGUAUGGAGGACUGGGCCAAAAUCCCUGCUGUGGAAACCUGGUCAAGAAGAUGCUUUGUCAGUGGGAAAACCUGCAAAAUCGGCAGUGUAUCAAAUACUUGUUCUCCCCACUGAAUACACACGCUACAUGCAUUUUAUAGAUUUUAUGCCACUUUAAAAUUAUUUUUGUCUUUGGAGCAAAGUGUACCCUGAAGUUAAUAAACAAGGUCAAUAUCAACGGCUGUGGGUUUGCGGGUGUGUGCCUGCCAGGUCUGAAGCUGAUCAAGAAGCAUCUGCUCAGUGAUUUUGAGCCAUAAUUACAUUUGCUGGAGGUGGUGGCUUGUCUGUCUCCUACCAUCUCUUUCCUCGGUCACAUUUUCCUUGCAGUCAUCCUCCACCCCCACACUGAUCUCCCAAUUUCAACCAGCGAUCCCCAACCAUUAGUCUCACUGUAGCCUAGAACAGAUCCACAAGCCCACAAUGUCGUACAGAAUCUCCGGUCUGACUGCAAAAAAAGAAGUGUACAUGUGCACACAUCCACUGCAAACACACACAAUGGAAACGACACAUUUACAAGCUGGGGCGAUGCAUAGAAAGGCAUGCACACUGACACACAGAAUAACAGAGGCAAUGCAGAGUCACGCAUUGUGCUUUCCUUACAUCGGGGCCUGAAUAUUAAUGUGUGGGGACAGAUAAGCAGCCCUGGAAAUCCCCUUUACUCCUCCCUAAUUAAUUUAUGCCAAUCUCUAUAUAACAAAGUUAUGCAGAUUUUGUGUUGUGGUUUGAACCAUUGUGGUAUGAAGGCUUCCAUGUGUCGACUUAUCAUGCCACAUAACUAACUGAUAUCAGGAAAAAAAAACUUCUGCUGGAACAUCAUGUUUUUCAUUGCAUUGUGUGGUAAAUUUAUUUAGAGCUUCACCUGUCCAGCGGGGGGCAGCACUCAAGCUAGACUUCAGCUCCAGGAGAACAUCUUAGUCAACUGUCAACACCCUCACUCUCCAGAUGCUCUGGAGUCAGACUUAAGAGGCCCUGAAUCGUGUCUGGACCUCCACGCUGACAUUGAUAAAUAUACCAGCCACCCAAAAGUCAAGGGUGGAGGCAGCGUGGGGAUUUCCCCAACCCCCCAAAUCCUAGUGCCGCUAUACUGAUGAAGACGUUCAUUGUGAUACUGAGUGAUGUUGAGUCAUUCAAAAGUCGCUGGCCGCGUAAAGAUGAGAUGCUCGCAGUGUGAGCUUAAACGGGCUCAAUUAGAGACGGCGCCACCACUCCUUAGCUCUAUGUUGCUUUCCUUUAUCGUCUGCCCCUUACCUCCGACCCCUGUCCUC
ensembl:lncRNA